rnacentral:tRNA from 1 species
CAUUAGAUGGCCGAAUUUUUAAGCACUGGUCUCUUAAACCACGUUAUGGUAUCUUCUACCUCUAAUGA